AAUGGAUUCUCGUUUCAAUUCGCUACGAAACACCGACGCAACGGUGGAAGCGGUAGGAAACCAUAAUGCACCAACCCAUCCAACUUCAUCUCAUUCGCUUUUUGUCUUCGACUCCAGCCAAAGUUCGUUGCACACGAUCAAACACACAACCGACAGCGAUGGCAAUAAUCGCUAACACGAAACGGUAUAUUUUAACAGUACAUUUGAAAAAAAUAAUACUUUACUGCAAGUAGUAUUUUGACAGAUGACAGCUGUCAGAUUUGUCACAUCACAAUAAACUGUCAAGUGCUAAGUGUUUCGAUUGUUGAGAAAAUAUUUACGUUUGCAGAAGUUUAAUUUAAACAAUAAUAAAACCUCUAAAGGCUCUAUACAAUAUGAAACAAUAACCAUUUUCAAUAAUAUACUAACGACCAUUCUUACUCAGCUUGAUGCACUACUACAUGUUGCCAGUGUAUUUGCGUGUUUGGUAGUGCAAAUGAUCUUUCCUGGGUGCGUUCGGCUUGUAUGUUUCUUUCCUGGGUGAGGAAAGCAGGUUGCGAAGAAGAGGCGUGCAACGUAGGACGAUACAUUCCGGAUUCAUUUAAAUUGGUUCCACUUCAAACCGGCUCAAACACGGCGCUUGAUGCGGGUGAGUGGACCCCCGGGCGGUGGGGUACGACUGUAAAACAACGCAAUGGGGAUGCGAUAUGAUCGGGGGGUGAGCGUCGGUGCCCGAGGGCAUCAUGAUGGUGCCGACACACAGUGCCGCACAUGAAGAGGUGGAGGAGGAUGAUAUUGCCGGGCGAUAUUUGCGGUCUCCCAUCGUUUGUGUGUGCGCACUCUUGCCGCGUCAGUUGUCUAACUGAAGGACGUAGAGAAAGUUUUAGCUGGUAUGCGAUGAAGGGGGGCUAUUGUGUAUGGGUAAGUGAGCGUCGGGGGGUUUUUACUACCACUUCCACCACGCGCCAGUUACAUUCCCAACCGACCAAUUACAUCAUUGCCGCGUAACAACGUAAGAAAUGAGCGGGAUGGGUGAGUUGUAAAGCUGACGGUAGCAGCAGCACUGACACACUGGGUCUUGUUGUAUAAUGUAAAUGAAAGGACUAUGCUCCAUUCUGGCGAACGAUAGCACGAGCACGAAAGGAGUUGUGCUCUACUAAAGUUAUCAGGAUCAAAUAAACACACGGCGUGUAUUUUCGAUAUAUACUGUUUCGUUCGUGUUUUGUCAAACCACUGACAGGGAAAGGCGUUGGUUUUUAUAUUAGGUGUACAAUGGAGCGCCGAUUAUCCGGAUACCUUUUAUCCGGCUGUCCCAUUAUCCGUGCAGAUCGGAAAUGACAGUUCCGAAGGUGUAUUUUCAUAUGAAAAGCAAAACCGAUGAUGGCAAUAAAUAAAAGCCUCAAUAGGGAAUGAUAUAGUUUGCUCAAAUUCGAAAUAAAAGAACAGAUUUACUUUGCAAAGUGUAAAUAAAGAAACUAACAUCUAGCUUUAUAAAAAUGUCUACCCAUUACACACUAAACACAGAUAUUUAUCAAUAAAAAGAGUUGUGUCUAUUAUCCGUGAUAUUCGCUUAUCGGCGAUAAUCGGCGCUUCACUGUAUUUGAAUUAUUUAAUGUAAGAUGUGAAUCCAGUUCCAGAGCAGAUUUUGGGUGAGUUUGAUAUUGCCUACAGUAGAUAGAAAAAGAAGUAGAAUAUUAUUUGACUGAAGGUUAUCAUUUUCAAGCAAAUAAUAUUAAUCUAGAGGAGAUUUACGUACCCUCCGGAACUUAUUGAAACACCCAAUGUGUAGGAUAAAACUAUCUCGUGUAAGCGUUUCCUGCAACGCACCGGAGGAUGCAUUACGUACCUUUAAGAGCACUUCGCUAACAUAACGGAGGUACAUCAUUAGCACGGUACAACAGAACAUCAACAAAGAUAACGUGAGAAGUAGGCAGCCUCGUUUGCAAAAAAAAAGGGAGAUGAGGAUGAAUGUAACUGUUACACACUUAUCCUUUCUACCGCCUCUUUAUCGUACGCCUCUUAAACUACAACGACAUGCAUGUGAACAGGAGCAUUCGGCGCCACAUGAAGUGAUAGAUAAGAUAAAAUGAGGUUAUGUCGGGAUAGCUUUAUUCUUCGCCUAACAGAACAAAUGAUAAGAAAUUGUUCGAAAUACUGUAAACAUAGAAAUCAUUUACAGACAAUAUACCUAGCAUAAAGCACAAAUCUUCUUGAGACUAAAACAAUACCCACACUAGGUGACUACGAUAAAAAAGGUAAAGCCCUUUUAUCAAACAAUAAAUUUAUUGUAAUAUCACAAUCAUGAUAAAGCAAACUAGAUAAUUAUCGUAGGAUUUUCCAUCACAUGUUUAGCAUUAGUCAGUUAAUUCCAUUAUUAUAUCUAUUUAUUCGCAUCGAUAAGCACGACAAAUCCAAGCAUUGCACAAAUCGACGACUCACGUACCGGCUUUACUUGCUUAUCUGAAAAUCAAUAAUAAUGAAAACGUAAAGCCUCGGCCUUGCACAAUCAUUGCGAAAAAUUGUCCGUCCAGAUUAACAAAUCGUUAUCAGUAAGGCACUCACUGACGCAAUAUUUCCAUGGUCAGCUUUGCCUACGUGCAAACUAUGAAGGGUGAGUUGUCCUUCUUUCUGAAAAUCCCUUUAAUAAUACACCUCAUUCAUACGAGAGGACACAUACCAACCGUAUGUGUGACCGAUGGGUACAUCUAAUUUUAGCUCCUAAAUGCGGUCAUGUUGGGGGGUUUAUGUCGUUUGCUUCUGCAAUUUUGUUUUAUUAUUUCCGGGACAAAAAUAUGUUUCAAAAAAAAACAAAGAAGUGUCGAGAAGUUCGAAUGCCGUUUAAAUACCCAUAAAUAACUGCACGGCUUCAUUCAACCUUAGGAAAAAAAAUCAAACAAGAAAUACAAUGCUCUCAACGAGUGCUCAUUAUACAGCACGAGAGAAAAAGGUCUAUUAGUAAAUUAGUCAUCCGCACCACAAAGUUGGCUGAACUUAAGAUCCGUACGCACGCGUUCAACGAUAAAUUUGCAGCAUUUUGCCAACAACUAGAAAGUCCGAAAAGAAUGAUAUAAGAGAGCAACACCGUGACCUGUCGGUCAUUAGGUUGGGCUGUCGGUUUAAAUAACCAACAAGCAAAAAUGUAAAGGUGGGACGCUCGCUAACCAACCCCUAAAAUGAACGCGCGUUAAACAACGAUUUCUCGACGGACAAUGACAUUGACCAGUACGAUGUGGGCCCGAACCGGUAAGGGGGUUGAGGUUGGAUGUUCUAUUUCAGGGAUGACAACAACGAACAAAAAAAAAACACAAGCGUACAAUAUUUAUUUCCUGCCGUCAGCACACCAUCGGACGAAGAUUGCGAAGAAACCAGUCGGCCAGGUCCACCCAUUCCCGGUUCGGGGUAGGUGUCCGUGUGAGCAGUAAAACAAAUAGCACACCGAACUGCUGUAGCCGACUGUGAAGCUAACACAAUGGGGUACGGCCGUUACGCUUGCUGCAACUCAACGCCUCCAACAUGACAAUGAAGUUACCGAAAAAAAGGGAAACAAACAAAUACAACCGUUUUAGUUCGGUUGUAGAUUAAAGGCGCUAUGUGCUGGGGGUGGGUGGGCCGAGGUCAAUAAUAGCCGAGAUUUGCCAAAUUCCUUUGCGAAGGGUUGGGAAGGAAUAUAAAGAUUAAUCACCUAUUUUGUGUCAAUACAAAACGUACCCAACGAGGA